rnacentral:rRNA from 1 species
GACGAACGCUGGCGGCGUGCUUAACACAUGCAAGUCGAGCGGUAAGGCCCUUUCGGGGGUACACGAGCGGCGAACGGGUGAGUAACACGUGGGUGACCUGCCCUUAGCUCUGGGAUAAGCCUGGGGAAACUGGGCCUAAUACCGGAUAUGACUCCAUGACGCAUGUUGUGGGGUGGAAAGCCUUGUGCGGCUAGGGAUGGGCCCGCGGCCUAUCAGCUUGUUGGUGGGGUGAUGGCCACCAAGGCGACGACGGGUAGCCGGCCUGAGAGGGCGACCGGCCACACUGGGACUGAGACACGGCCCAGACUCCUACGGGAGGCAGCAGUGGGGAAUCUUGCGCAAUGGGCGAAAGCCUGACGCAGCGACGCCGCGUGAGGGAUGACGGCCUCGGUUGUAA